AUUGAACGCUGGCGGCAUGCUUUACACAUGCAAGUCGAACGGUAACAGGCCUUCGGGCGCUGACGAGUGGCGAACGGGUGAGUAAUGCAUCGGAACGUGCCCAGUCGUGGGGGAUAACUAUCCGAAAGGAUAGCUAAUACCGCAUACGAUCUGCGGAUGAAAGCGGGGGACCUUCGGGCCUCGCGCGAUUGGAGCGGCCGAUGUCAGAAUAGGUAGUUGGUGGGGUAAAGGCUCACCAAGCCAACGAUCUGUAGCUGGUCUGAGAGGACGACCAGCCACACUGGGACGGGGACACGGCCCAGACUCCUACGGGAGGCAGCAGUGGGGAAUUUUGGACAAUGGGCGCAAGCCUGAUCCAGCAAUGCCGCGUGCAGGAGGAAGGCCUUCGGGUUGUAAACUGCUUUUGUACGGAGCGAAAAGGCUCCCUCUAAUACAGGGGGCUCAUGACGGUACCGUAAGAAUAAGCACCGGCUAACUACGUGCCAGCAGCCGCAGUAAUAC
rnacentral:rRNA from 1 species